rnacentral:rRNA from 1 species
AUUGAACGCUGGCGGCAUGCCUUACACAUGCAAGUCGAACGGCAGCACGGGAGCAAUCCUGGUGGCGAGUGGCGAACGGGUGAGUAAUAUAUCGGAACGUGCCCAGUCGUGGGGGAUAACGUAGCGAAAGCUACGCUAAUACCGCAUACUAUCUAUGGAUGAAAGCGGGGGAUCGCAAGACCUCGCGCGAUUGGAGCGGCCGAUAUCAGAUUAGGUAGUUGGUGAGGUAAAGGCUCACCAAGCCGACGAUCUGUAGCUGGUCUGAGAGGACGACCAGCCACACUGGGACUGAGACACGGCCCAGACUCCUACGGGAGGCAGCAGUGGGGAAUAUUGGACAAUGGGCGAAAGCCUGAUCCAGCAAUGCCGCGUGAGUGAUGAAGGCCUUAGGGUUGUAAAGCUCUUUUACCCGGGAUGAUAAUGACAGUACCGGGAGAAUAAGACUCCGGCGUAACUCCGUCGCCAGCAGCCGCGGUAAAG